AUUGAACGCUGGCGGAAUGCUUUACACAUGCAAGUCGAACGGCAGCACGGGGGCAACCCUGGUGGCGAGUGGCGAGCGGGUGAGUAAUACAUCGGAACGUGCCCAGUCGUGGGGGAUAACGUAGCGAAAGUUACGCUAAUACCGCAUACGAUCUACGGAUGAAAGCGGGGGACCGUAAGGCCUUGCGCGAUUGGAGCGGCCGAUGUCAGAUUAGGUAGUUGGUGAGGUAAAGGCUCACCAAGCCGACGAUCUGUAGCUGGUCUGAGAGGACGACCAGCCACACUGGGACUGAGACACGGCCCAGACUCCUACGGGAGGCAGCAGUGGGGAAUUUUGGACAAUGGGCGCAAGCCCGAUCCAGCCAUUCCACGUGCAGGACGAAGGCCUUCGGGUUGUAAACUGCUUUUGUACGGAACGAAAAGGCUCUGGUUAAUACCUGGGGCUCAUGACGGUACCGUAAGAAUAAGCACCGGCUAACUACGUGCCAGCCGCCGCGGUAA
rnacentral:rRNA from 1 species